AAACGAGUACGGAAUCCCAACCCCUGUGACAUACCGCACGUUGCUUCGGCGGACCGCCCCGGCGCCCGAACUCUUCCCCUACGGGGAGGAGAGGGCCCGGACCCAGGCGCCCGCCGGGGGACCCAAACCCUUGCAUUCGCCGCCGGCGGAAUUUACUUCUGAGUGAAAAACAAAUGAAUCAAAACUUUCAACAACGGAUCUCUUGGUUCUGGCAUCGAUGAAGAACGCAGCGAAAUGCGAUAAGUAAUGUGAAUUGCAGAAUUCAGUGAACCAUCGAAUCUUUGAACGCACAUUGCGCCCGCCAGCACUCUGGCGGGCAUGCCUGUUCGAGCGUCAUUUCAACCCUCAGGCCCCCCAGGGGGCCUGGCGUUGGGGACCGGCCCUGGCCGACCCCUAAAUGCAGUGGCGACCCCGCCGCGGCCUCCCCUGCGUAGUAGCAACACCUCGCACCGGAGCGCGGAGGCGGUCACGCCGUUAAACGCACCAAUACCCAAGAGUUGACCUCGGAUCAGGUAGGAAUACCCGCUGAACUUAAGCAUAUCAAUAAGCGGAGGAA
rnacentral:rRNA from 1 species